AAAUUUUUUUUAAUACAAACCUAUACAACUGGUUUAACCAAAAACACUUCUACAUUUAAAAUUAAAAAAAAAAUAAAGGAAAAUAAUCACUCACUCACACCUCGCUGGAAUCCUCUCGCAACACUGUCUCUGAUUGAGAGCUCGUCUUCUCUUCUCCUCCUCCCAAUCUCUCUAUCAAUCUCGCGAUCGCAGGGUCAGAGCUCGAGCUCGCUGCUCUCUCUAUCUCUCUCUCUCUCUGUGUGUGUGUGAAAACUUCCUCAUCGGCAAAUCUCAUGGCCAUUGAACGCUGGAAUCCAGAUCGUUGGAUCUCCUCUUUGAUCGCCUCCCGUUGCUGGAGACCCUCAUGUCGUUCUCCGGUGGAAUCAAGCUCUCAAAUGUUGAUGGUGUUGGAUUGCAAUUGUAGGAAGCUUUUUGAAGAAAUUAUCAUGCAUUGGAAAAUAUGCAUAAAUGGCUGAAAAACAUCAUUAAAACUAAUUUAAGCUGGGUUGCUUCUUGAAAGAUCAUAUCAUGUUGAGGAGUCAAAGUUUGGUUCUUGGUAAACAACAACUAGAAUCCAUUGAUUUUGGAGAAUUCAUGGUUAAAAAUUGAGAGGGUUGAAAAUGAGGAGGAUACAUGAAGUUUUUUUACUUUGUGUAAUUAAGCCAAAAAAAUGUUUUGUAAUUAAAAUAGAUAAAUAGAGCUCUUUACAUUUUGUUAUUAAUCAAAAUACAUUGUAAUUUAGCUCAUAACUUGUCAAUAAAAGUCAAUGAAAUUGA